rnacentral:rRNA from 1 species
GACGUAGGUGGCGAACGUUAUCCGGAAUUAUUGGGCGUAAAGGGUGCGUAGGCGGCAUGAUAAGUUAUCGGCGGCAAAUCGAGGCUCAACCUCGUGGAAACUGAUAAUACUGUCUUGCUUGAGUGCAGAAGAGGUUAACGGAACUCCAUGUGGAGCGGUAAAAUGUGUAGAUAUAUGGAAGAACAUCAAUAACGGCGAAGGCAGUUAACUAUUCUGUUACUGACGUUGAGGCACGAAAGCGUGGGGAGCAAAACGG